UUUGGAGUCUCAACAAUGCCCCAUAGGGGUGACAUAACAUUUAUUGAGUUUGGUUACAUAAGCAUCAUUAAAAUCAUGUACUCAAAGGGAUUAACAACAUACUAGGGUCAAGCACAACUAUAAACCUGAAUAGACAUCAUUGCAUUUCAUUUCUAUAUUAUACUUUUACAUUACAUCACAUUCAUGUCCAUAUCUAGCUAUUACAUACAACAUAAC
rnacentral:lncRNA from 1 species